rnacentral:rRNA from 1 species
UACAGAGGGGGCAAGCGUUGUUCGGAAUUACUGGGCGUAAAGGGCGCGUAGGCGGCCUGCUAAGUCGAACGUGAAAUCCCUGGGCUCAACCCAGGAACUGCGUCCGAUACUGGUUGGCUUGAAUCCGGGAGAGGGAUGUGGAAUUCCAGGUGUAGCGGUGAAAUGCGCAGAUAUCAGGAGGAACACCGGUGGCGAAGGCGGGUCUCUGGGCCGAUACUGACGCUGAGGAGCGAAAGCGUGGGGAGCGAACAGG